rnacentral:tRNA from 2 species
GGGCGUAUGGUGUAGUUGGAUAUCAUGUCGGAUUUCUAAUCCGACGACACGGGUUCGAAUCCUGUUAUGCCCA